rnacentral:rRNA from 1 species
AGCAGUAGCCGCGGGAAUACGAAGGGGGCUAGCGUUGCUCGGAAUGACUGGGCGUAAAGGGCGCGUAGGCGGAUUGUUUAGUUAGGCGUGAAAUUCCUGGGCUUAACCUGGGGACUGCGCUUAAUACAGGCAGUCUAGAGUGAGGAAGAGGGUUGUGGAAUUCCCAGUGUAGAGGUGAAAUUCGUAGAUAUUGGGAAGAACACCGGUGGCGAAGGCGGCAACCUGGUCCUUGACUGACGCUGAGGCGCGAAAGCGUGGGGAGCAAACAGGAUUAGAGACCCCGGUAGUCCCUGUCUCUUAUAA